GGGAGUGGAUGGGGCCCGGUGGCCUCCGCGGACUUCAAAUCCGUUGGGGGGCGCCCUGCGGCGUCCCCGGUGGGUUCGACCCCCAUGCGCUCCCGCCA
rnacentral:tRNA from 1 species